AGGAUAUAAGAACUCGUCUCUUAACUUUUAACUAAAAAAACUAACAACCAACUCUUAAAUAAGGUAUUUAAGAGCCGGUUUUUAGCUUUUUUAGUUAAAAAUUAAGAGAUGAAUUCUUACAUCCC
rfam:Brassica rapa chromosome A9, whole genome shotgun sequence.